rnacentral:rRNA from 1 species
GAUUCCCUUAGUAACGGCGAGCGAAACGGGAAAUGUCCAGCGCCAAGUCUUGACAUCAAAUGGUGUUCAAGAGAUGCGGCGUUAAUGUAUUGGUGCAUCAUACAUUGGUCCAUGUUUCAAGUUCCUUUGACAGGGACAUCCAGAGUGGGUGCUAGGCCCAUAGAGACAAGGAUCUGAUGUAUGCCAGCCAAUGCAUUCUAGAGUCAGGUUGCUUGAGAGUGCAGCUUAAAGUGGGUGGUAAACUCCAUCUAAGACUAAAUAUUACAGCGAGACCGAUAGCAAACAAGUACCGUGAGGGAAAGUUGAAAAGCACUUUGAAGAGAGAGUUCAACAGUACGUGAAACCACUGACAGGCAAACAGAUGGAACCACGAAGUUAGCGUCUUGGUCGAUUCAAUCAUCACCACUUGGUAUGGAUGUUGAUGUGUGAGGACCUUUUCGGAGGUUGCAUCAAUGUUCUUCAAUCUGGUGUGUGAUGGUGCAUUUCGUGCCGAGGAUGCAAAGCCACGUUCGAUUAGAGAGUUGGGACGGCUGUAGGAUAGAACCAGAGAAAGGUGCCCGACAGAUGCUUGCCAUUUGUCGGCGUUAUAGACUCCGGUUGGCACCGUCGCCAAACAUACUGAUCGAUAUAAAUUCUCCAUUAUGGAGUAUGGAACCAUGUCUGCCUAUGGCUGGUAGUAGGCGUCCAGAGGUGUCCUUUACGUAUCUUUGGAUGCGAAAAGCCAUCUUGAAGAUGCAUGCUAGUGGUUGUUUGCGUGACAUGGUGGAACUGUGGCGCGAGUAGGUCGGUGUCCAUCUGACCCGUCUUGAAACACGGACCAAGGAGCCUAUCAUAUACGCGAGUCGCUCGGUCUUGUUCAGGCCCGAGAGGCGUAAUGAAAGUAAAGCUAUGAGAUUUCGAUCGCAAUAGCGGCCCGCCUACUUCGUUUAUUGGCGAUCAGGCGGAGCUGGAGCGUAUACGAUGGUACCCGAAAGAUGGUGAACUAUGCCUGGGCAAGACGAAGCCAGAGGAAACUCUGGUGGAGGUCUGUAGCGAUUCUGACGUGCAAAUCGAUCGUCAGACCUGGGUAUAGGGGCGAAAGACUAAUCGAACCAUCUAGUAGCUGGUUCCCUCCGAAGUUUCCCUCAGGAUAGCAGGCGUUUUUGGGACCAGUCUCAUCCGGUAAAGCUAAUGAUUAGAGGUCUUGGGGCUGAAACGGCCUCAACCUAUUCUCAAACUUUAAAUGGGUGAGAUGGUUGACUUUCUUGAUUGAAGCCAACCAUUUGGAUGUAAGUGCCUAGUGGGCCAUUUUUGGUAAGCAGAACUGGCGCUGUGGGAUGAACCAAACGUCGAGAUAAGGUAUCAGAUGCACACGCUCAUCAGACCCCAUGAAAGGUGUUGGUUGCUAUAGACAGCAGGACGGUGGCCAUGGAAGUCGGAAUCC